UUUGACCUACGGGGGGCAGCAGUGGGGGAUAUUGCACAAUGGGGGAAACCCUGAUGCAGCGACGCCGCGUGUGGGAAGACGGUCCUCUGGAUUGUAAACCACUGUCCCCAGGGACGAAAAUGACGGUACCUGGGGAGGAAGCUCCGGCUAACUACGUGCCAGCAGCCGCGGUAAUACGUAGGGAGCGAGCGUUGUCCGGAAUUACUGGGUGUAAAGGGAGCGUAGACGGCAUUGCAAGUCCGGAGUGAAAGCCCA
rnacentral:rRNA from 1 species